UCCGCGUUAACCGCGGCAGUCUCGCUAGAGUGCUCAACUUAAUGGUAGCAACUAACGACAAGGGUUGCGCUCGUUGCGGGACUUAACCCAACAUCUCACGACACGAGCUGACGACAACCAUGCACCACCUGUCUUCCUGCCCCGAAGGGCUUCCCGCAUUACCGGUAAUUCAGGAGAUGUCAAGUCUAGGUAAGGUUCUUCGCGUUGCUUCGAAUUAAACCACAUGCUCCGCUGCUUGUGCGGGCCCCCGUCAAUUCCUUUGAGUUUUAAUCUUGCGACCGUACUCCCCAGGCGGAAUACUUAUUGUGUUAACUGCGGCACGGAGGUCAUGAUAACCCCCACACCUAGUAUUCAUCGUUUACGGCGUGGACUAC
rnacentral:misc_RNA from 1 species